CCUCGUGCUAGGCUGGGGCGUUAGUCGUGUCUUGUUACCGCAAAUCGACUUCAUGGCGGAGCUGAAGCCUGUGCUGAGGCGAUCACCUCGGCUGUACGAGUCGCGUUUGGACUGUCGAUCCUGCGUCCGUACUGGUGUGUUGCACGCUGAACCCUGUCAGGCCAGGAAUGGAGCAGCAGUAAGGUGUACAGUGCGCGUAGUGCGGGUCGCGCAGGGGAGGAAGAUUCGUGUCCCUCGAACAGUUUGGGGCCCGUCCAGGUACAGGUGUGCACGCUU
rnacentral:SRP_RNA from 1 species